UCCUCUAUCAUUAGCCCUUCCCACUGCAGAUUGCUAUACAUGAGCAAGCCAUUUCAUGCUGCUUAUAUAGACACUGCAGAGAAGUGGGCAUUUUUUGGCAGCAAUUUAUCUGUGGCCUCUUGUAGACAUCUCAGCAUCUGGUCUUAUUCAUGGCCACUGGAACUGGGGUGACUCACUCAGAGCUGAUCAGGGAGUCCUUUCAGGGAUGGGUAAUCAUGCUGAUGCAUCCAUGGGACUGAAGCAGAACACAGAAGCCAAAUGAUAGUUUGCCCACCUCAGCAGCAGGUCCUCUGGAGACAACUUCAUCAGAUCCUCCAGGCUCUCUCCUUCUCUCAGAAGAGCAAUUAAGGCUAAGCAGGGGUGGG